UAUAGGUAUUAAAUGAUUAAAAUAAUUCAAAUACAACGCAAAAGAAAUUUAUAUAUUAAAAGAAAUUUUAAUGAUAUUUAAUAAAGUGAUUUUAUCAAAAUAUAUGUGUUGAUUGAGAACUGGGGCAUAACUUACGCGAUCAUAACUAUAGCACUCCUCCCACUAUUAAAACCAAUCAAUAAUGUGGACUGAGAAAACAUUAUAAUAAAUAGUAAUUUCGAAGCCUGUGAAAGGAGUCUUUCUCUCCUAUGAAUAAGAAGACCACUUUAUUUUCAAUACUUCUACUUUCUUCAUUUAUUUUUUUUUUAGGAGUAGUCUACUUGUAAUUAUUUUCCUUUUUCCG
rnacentral:lncRNA from 1 species